rnacentral:rRNA from 1 species
CAGCCGCCACGGUAAUACGAGGGGGGCAAGCGUUGUUCGGAAUUAUUGGGCGUAAAGGGUGCGUAGGCGGCUUGGCAAGUCUUAUGUGAAAUCUUCGGGCUCAACCCGAAGUCUGCAUGAGAAACUGCCGGGCUUGAGUAUGGGAGAGGUGAGUGGAAUUUCCGGUGUAGCGGUGAAAUGCGUAGAUAUCGGAAGGAACACCAGUGGCGAAAGCGGCUCACUGGACCAUAACUGACGCUGAUGCACGAAAGCUAGGGGAGCAAACAGGAUUAGAUACCCCAGUAGUCCCUGUCUCUUAUAC